UACGUAGGGGGCUAGCGUUGUCCGGAAUCAUUGGGCGUAAAGCGCGCGUAGGCGGCCCGGUAAGUCCGCUGUCAAAGUCAAAGGCUCAACCUUUGAAUGUCAGUGGAUACUGCCGGGCUAGAGUCCGGAAGAGGCGAGUGGAACUCCUGGUGUAGCGGUGGAAUGCGCAGAUAUCAGGAAGAACACCGACGGCGAAGGCAGCUCGCUGGGACGGUACUGACGCUGAGGCGCGAAAGCUAGGGGAGCAAACAGG
rnacentral:rRNA from 1 species